GGAGGGGUGCCGGAGCGGCUUAACGGAAUAGUUUCGAAAACUAUGACUCGCAAGAGUCUCGUGAGUUCAAAUCUCACCCCCUCCGCCA
rnacentral:tRNA from 2 species